GUCUACGGCCAUGCCACCCCGAACAAGCCCGAUUCUGUCUGAUCUCAGAAGCUAAUCAGGGUUGGGCCUGGUUAGUACUUGGAUGGGAGACCACCUAGGAAGACCAGGUGCUGUAGGCA
rnacentral:rRNA from 1 species